UACGGAGGGGCCAGCGUUGUUCGGAAUCAUUGGGCGUAAAGGGCGCGUAGGCGGCUUGGUAAGUCCGUUGUGAAAUCCCUCGGCUCAACCGAGGAACUGCGACGGAUACUGCUUGGCUUGAGUCCGGAGAGGGUAGCGGAAUUCCCAGUGGUAGCGGUGAAAUGCGUAGAUAUUGGGAGGAACAUCGGUGGCGAAGGCGGCUACCUGGACGGGUACUGACGCUGAUGCGCGAAAGCUAGGGAGCAACAGG
rnacentral:rRNA from 1 species